CGGUUAAGUUAGAAAGGGCGCACGGUGGAUGCCUUGGCACUAGGAGCCGAUGAAGGACGGGACGAACACCGAUAUGCUUCGGGGAGCUGUAAGCAAGCUUUGAUCCGGAGAUUUCCGAAUGGGGAAACCCACCACUCGUAAUGGAGUGGUAUCCAUAUCUGAAUACAUAGGGUAUGAGAAGGCAGACCCGGGGAACUGAAACAUCUAAGUACCCGGAGGAAGAGAAAGCAAAUGCGAUUCCCUGAGUAGCGGCGAGCGAAACGGGACCAGCCCAAACCAAGAGGCUUGCCUCUUGGGGUUGUAGGACACUCUGUACGGAGUUACAAAGGAACGAGGUAGAUGAAGAGGUCUGGAAAGGCCCGCCAUAGAAGGUAACAGCCCUGUAGUCAAAACUUCGUUCUCUCCUGAGUGGAUCCUGAGUACGGCGGAACACGUGAAAUUCCGUCGGAAUCCGGGAGGACCAUCUCCCAAGGCUAAAUACUCCCUAGUGACCGAUAGUGAACCAGUACCGUGAGGGAAAGGUGAAAAGCACCCCGGAAGGGGAGUGAAAGAGAUCCUGAAACCGUGUGCCUACAAGUAGUCAGAGCCCGUUAACGGGUGAUGGCGUGCCUUUUGUAGAAUGAACCGGCGAGUUACGAUCCCGUGCAAGGUUAAGCAGAAGAUGCGGAGCCGCAGCGAAAGCGAGUCUGAAUAGGGCGAAUUGAGUACGUGGUCGUAGACCCGAAACCAGGUGAUCUACCCAUGUCCAGGGUGAAGUUCAGGUAACACUGAAUGGAGGCCCGAACCCACGCACGUUGAAAAGUGCGGGGAUGAGGUGUGGGUAGGGGUGAAAUGCCAAUCGAACCUGGAGAUAGCUGGUUCUCUCCGAAAUAGCUUUAGGGCUAGCCUCAAGGUAAGAGUCUCGGAGGUAGAGCACUGAUUGGACUAGGGGCCCCUACCGGGUUACCGAAUUCAGUCAAACUCCGAAUGCCGAUGACUUAUCCUUGGGAGUCAGACUGCGAGUGAUAAGAUCCGUAGUCGAAAGGGAAACAGCCCAGACCGCCAGCUAAGGUCCCAAAGUAUACGUUAAGUGGAAAAGGAUGUGGAGUUGCUUAGACAACCAGGAUGUUGGCUUAGAAGCAGCCACCAUUUAAAGAGUGCGUAAUAGCUCACUGGUCGAGUGACUCUGCGCCGAAAAUGUACCGGGGCUAAACGUAUCACCGAAGCUGCGGACUGUUCUUCGAACAGUGGUAGGAGAGCGUUCUAAGGGCUGUGAAGCAAGACCGGAAGGACUUGUGGAGCGCUUAGAAGUGAGAAUGCCGGUAUGAGUAGCGAAAGAGGGGUGAGAAUCCCCUCCACCGAAUGCCUAAGGUUUCCUGAGGAAGGCUCGUCCGCUCAGGGUUAGUCGGGACCUAAGCCGAGGCCGAAAGGCGUAGGCGAUGGAUAACAGGUUGAUAUUCCUGUACCACCUCCUCACCAUUUGAGCAAUGGGGGGACGCAGGAGGAUAGGGUAAGCGCGGUAUUGGAUAUCCGCGUCCAAGCAGUUAGGCUGGGAAAUAGGCAAAUCCGUUUCCCGUGAAGGCUGAGCUGUGAUGGCGAGCGAAUUAUAGUAGCGAAGUUCCUGAUUCCACACUGCCAAGAAAAGCCUCUAGCGAGGUGAGAGGUGCCCGUACCGCAAACCGACACAGGUAGGCGAGGAGAGAAUCCUAAGGUGAUCGAGAGAACUCUCGUUAAGGAACUCGGCAAAAUGACCCCGUAACUUCGGGAGAAGGGGUGCUCUGUUAGGGUGCAAGCCCGAGAGAGCCGCAGUGAAUAGGCCCAGGCGACUGUUUAGCAAAAACACAGGUCUCUGCGAAGCCGUAAGGCGAAGUAUAGGGGCUGACGCCUGCCCGGUGCUGGAAGGUUAAGAGGAGCGCUUAGCGUAAGCGAAGGUGCGAAUUGAAGCCCCAGUAAACGGCGGCCGUAACUAUAACGGUCCUAAGGUAGCGAAAUUCCUUGUCGGGUAAGUUCCGACCCGCACGAAAGGCGCAACGAUCUGGGCACUGUCUCAACGAGAGACUCGGUGAAAUUAUAGUACCUGUGAAGAUGCAGGUUACCCGCGACAGGACGGAAAGACCCCGUGGAGCUUUACUGCAGCCUGAUAUUGAAUGUUGGUACAGCUUGUACAGGAUAGGUAGGAGCCUUGGAAACCGGAGCGCCAGCUUCGGUGGAGGCAUCGGUGGGAUACUAACCUGGCUGUAUUGACCUUCUAACCCGCCGCCCUUAUCGGGCGGGGAGACAGUGUCAGGUGGGCAGUUUGACUGGGGCGGUCGCCUCCUAAAAGGUAACGGAGGCGCCCAAAGGUUCCCUCAGAAUGGUUGGAAAUCAUUCGCAGAGUGUAAAGGCACAAGGGAGCUUGACUGCGAGACCUACAAGUCGAGCAGGGACGAAAGUCGGGCUUAGUGAUCCGGUGGUUCCGCAUGGAAGGGCCAUCGCUCAACGGAUAAAAGCUACCCCGGGGAUAACAGGCUUAUCUCCCCCAAGAGUCCACAUCGACGGGGAGGUUUGGCACCUCGAUGUCGGCUCAUCGCAUCCUGGGGCUGUAGUCGGUCCCAAGGGUUGGGCUGUUCGCCCAUUAAAGCGGUACGCGAGCUGGGUUCAGAACGUCGUGAGACAGUUCGGUCCCUAUCCGUCGCGGGCGCAGGAAAUUUGAGAGGAGCUGUCCUUAGUACGAGAGGACCGGGAUGGACGCACCGCUGGUGUACCAGUUGUUCUGCCAAGGGCAUCGCUGGGUAGCUAUGUGCGGACGGGAUAAGUGCUGAAAGCAUCUAAGCAUGAAGCCCCCCUCAAGAUGAGAUUUCCCAUUCCGCAAGGAAGUAAGAUCCCUGAAAGAUGAUCAGGUUGAUAGGUCUGAGGUGGAAGUGUGGCGACACAUGGAGCUGACAGAUACUAAUCGAUCGAGGACUUAACCAAUUU
rnacentral:rRNA from 3 species